ensembl:lncRNA
AUCCAACCUGAACCUUCUCUGGUGCAACCUAAGACUAUUACCUGUUGUUCUACGUAAUGGUCUCUUGCCUCUAUUAGCCUCCUGGAAAAAUUUGGAGAGUGCCUAAAUUAUCAAUGCUCUUAUUCAUAAAAUUUUAUUAAGUAACACAACAUAAGAAAGAGCAACAGCAGAAACUUCCCCUGUAGUUGGGCAGUAAAGCUCUCUAAGUGGCUCUGUUUGAGGCCAGAACUUCUGCUCACACUCAUGAGGAGUUUGAAGGCUACAGCCUGGUCCAACUAAACAAGAUGAAAAUUUGGGAGAUUUGUAUACUAAUUUGAAAACAAAAUGGAAAGUCAGCAUUAGUAUAAAGCACUUUUUCUCCUUCCAUGUGUCUGUAAGUACCGUGGAUGAUAAUGCACUUCAGAGGAAUUUAAAGGAUGAAGGAGGCAUUAAUGGGCAUGCCGUGCUGAUAAGUAGAUGCAUUUUCCAUGCUUCCCAGAGCCUAUGAGUAGCUCCACAGAGAGACAGAGAUGCACCGUGGGGCCCCUUCCGACUUGGGCCCCUGUGCCAGCCCUCCCCAUAAGCCUUUCCCACUGUGGAAGCAAGGAUCUGCCUUCUUGAUCCCAGGAGCUCAGCCUACUGCAGAGAUUCGCAGCCCACCUCCUUCUGGUGUCCCUCCAGCCCUGGGUUCCCUGACUUCCCCUGUGCCUCCAUGCAUUCGUGUCUGGCCUGCUGCGUUUCACAGCACUCAAAAUUUGGUUAUUUGAGAUCUCAGCAUAUGUCUCAUCAGCUGUGAAAAUAUCAAGAGUGCGCUUAUAGCAAGGCGUAAUGAAGAGAGCAAGUUCGGGGUUUAUUUUGUGUGCAGGUGGAUCAUCACGAGCAAAAUAUUCUUAUUGAUCGUUUGUUACCGUUGUCUGAAUUGAGGGCUGUCUCCUAGCAGAUUGAAAUUUACUGUAACUGAUGGGAUCUCAUAAACACAUGUCAAAAGGAGAAUAAAAAUGAAACAUCUUAAAAGAAAAUUACCACAAAUAAAAAUGUUAGUAUCAGAAACAAGUAAAUAAAAAUAUACGAUACGCAUUAACCAGUGUUGUCUGUUUGCCCACAGACUAUCAUUUAAAUUUACCACAGCAGAUAUUUUGGUGUUAUGCUCCACUGAAUCUUUAAAAAAAUAAAGAA